CCUUCUCGAGGGGAAACAAGAAGAUAAGAUUCAUCAAAUCGAAUCACACUGAAUCGUGUGUGUUAAGAUCUGCAUUUCUGGAAUGCGCACCAUGUUCAUAGCGAACAUAGAAUGUAAUGAUUACCACUUGCCACCUUGGCGUAUUUGCUUUUCCCUCAUAUUUAAAUGUGGUCGAGCAGAUGGAAUCAGUACAAAUAUCUUCACAAAUGUUGGGGGACAAAUGUUGAGCUGGAGCGCUGGUGUGUUGCGCAACACCUGAAUUUCACCUUUGCAUUUACUUUCUGCAUGAUUAAAGUCACAAUUUCAGUACUCAAUCACACGACCCCAUCAAGGCGUCUUAAACUUAAGUAGUUUAAGUGGGAGACUCCAAGCAAGAAUGCAUGUUCAGUGAUGAAGGUGAAGACGACAGAGGCGGAGGAGAAGAUAUGUGGCCCAGCGGGCUCCUGAUGGAUUCCUGCACUCUACUUGCGCAUACUCCACUAUUAUCAAUGACACAUUGUUCUUCACCUUACAACCACAAACACCCGCACGUACCCUUAUAUUACACAGCUACACGCAUUGCACAACUAUGAAACAAAAAAGCAACACGUGAUGGUCAGCAUGGUGUAUGCUUCAGUUUGAUGUGCUUUUUAAAAAAAACACAUUUACUUCUGAAAGCAGUCAAAUUAACAUCAAUCUUUGCAAUUAUCACCACGUCGAGGCAGGGGUGAUGGUAUUUAAAGUCCCGCACUUACGUACCAACACCUUGCUACGCCCAGCAAAACCGGCUUUACCUGUUCUACAUUCCCUGUGGUUGAGAAGGUGCAUGCGUGCUGCACUGCAGGCUGACAUAUAUAUAAUGUGGCUCUUCGCUGCACAGAGCACGUACGGGCGGAGGAUGAUUGUGUGUAAAAGACAAAACAUGAAUUGAUUUGACUCUUGCAUCGACACCUAGCGCACUAUGUUGGGUGGGGUCUAAAGUAUUUAAAGUAAGCAGCAAUUCUAUUAGGCACACGCAAACUGGGUGUUGUCCUGCAUUUAUGUGUGUACCGAUAUGCUCAGAAUGUAGUUGUACCAAGAGCAGGGCUGAAUGCCAGAGGGCGUGAUGGGAGCGCCUACAAGAAGUGCUUGUGACAAAACCCGCAGGAAUGGAUUGGAGGUGGCUGCGAUCGACCAAGGGCGGACAAUGACACCCUUUGAAUGUUUGGUAAACUACACCCAGACACUUUCGCAAAGCUCUCUAAGGCACGUUGCGCAGUGAAAGGCGGUCUCCUCCAUAAAAUCAUGUAGCAGUACUGACCUGAGCAAUGGCAGCCUCGUUGUCUGCCAAACCCAACAGGAAGAUGCGGACCUUGUCGAUCUUGACGGGCACGCUCCUCCCGCGCCACUCCACCUCGCUCAUGGUGGCCGCCUGCUUGGUUCUCGCCUGAGUGAUCAGGGUCUGGAAGAAUAAAGACCUUUGGUAAAUUUG